ACAGCAGCAGCCGCGGUAAUACGUAGGGUGCGAGCGUUAAUCGGAAUUACUGGGCGUAAAGCGUGCGCAGGCGGUUUUGUAAGACAGGCGUGAAAUCCCCGGGCUCAACCUGGGAAUGGCGCUUGUGACUGCAAAGCUAGAGUGCGGCAGAGGGGGAUGGAAUUCCGCGUGUAGCAGUGAAGUGCGUAGAUAUGCGGAGGAACACCGAUGGCGAAGGCAAUCCCCUGGGCCUGCACUGACGCUCAUGCACGAAAGCGUGGGGAGCAAACAGGAUUAGAUACCCCCGUAGUCCCUGUCUCUUAUAC
rnacentral:rRNA from 1 species